rnacentral:lncRNA from 1 species
CAGGAAACACCAAAGAUCACUUAGCUCAAAAAAAGACUGAAUACCUGAAAGCAACAGCACAAGAGUGAGCAGUUCUAGCUCUUCAGCUGCUGUGACGCAUCGGCAGAUAUAUAUUUGUGCAGAACUCUUUUGCCCUCACUAGAAAGCUGGAAACAGCCUUCCUUUAUGCAUAGCAGAGCCCUGGCAUGAAAGUUUUUCAGGCAAUGGAGACUACUCUGCCUUGAAACAGGGGAGAGAAAACAACUGGAGAAAUAAUGGAAGAGGUGUUUACAGAGUAACCCAAAGCUGA